GUAUUUUAUAAUGGUUUCUAAACUGACAAUUAUUUGCAUGUAUUAACAACAAAUGUUCUCAAUUAAUGUAGAUUUACGUGCACAAUUUCCACAGCUAACAAACAACAUGAUGACCGUGCAGAACAAGCCUUCGUUAACUUAAAGAAAAAAGAAAAACAGUUCACAAAUGCUGCUGCUGAUGAUGAGGAUGAUGAAGAAGAAGAUGAACAUGAUGAAAGAUCUAAUGAACACAGAACAAAUCAUGACAAAUCAGAACCCCUUUCUCCAGUGACAGACACUCAGGAGAGAAAAACAGACGAGCCGGAAAACACUGAUGCUGAAAAUCCCAAUGAAAGUCAUUUAGCAGACACUUCUGAAACCACUGAGGGAGCGACUGAAGCAGGAGGAGAUGCAGAGGAUGUGGACACUAAUGCAGAUGAUGGAGACUGACAGCACUACAGCACAAAUGACUUGAACACCUCAAUAUAAUCUCUCAGAGAGACAGAAAUCAGUGUGGGAUGGGAACUGAGGGCCAGAUUUACUAAAUGGGGUCGGUGACACUUUACAAUAAGAUUGUGUUAAUGUAUUUACUAACAUCAAUAAACAUUUACAGUAUUACAUUACAGUAAUUAAUGAAAUUAGUUCAAUCAUGUGUGCAUUAACACUCAAUUUAUUUAUUUUUUAGUUCAAACUCAUUUAAAAUGAGCUGAAACAAUUCUUGAGAUUUCAUUGGGACACCUUAAUAUAUGUUCAAUCCACAUACAUUUAAGUUAACUUAAUUAGUGUUGGGACAACAUGAAUGAAUUGUGGAACCCUGCAUUUUUUAUAGUGUACUAAUGUUAACAUGCAUGAAUCUGGAUGUUAAUAGUGCAUUAGUAGAUGUUGAGCUGUGAUUAAUAAACGCUGCACUAUCGUUCAUUAUUAGUCCAUGGUAGUGAAUGCAUUAACUAAUGAAACCUUAUAGUGAAGUGUGACCAUGGGGUUAGUAAAUCUGGUGGAUUAGGGUGAAGAUACAUUUGUAUGUGCUCAGAAAACAAACAUAUUGAACUAUAUUGAAAGCACACACAAAAAAAAGGGUGCUCAACCAAACAAGCAUACAAACUGUAAGCUUUGGUGUUACUGCCUUUCUGUACAUUAUUAAAGCUUGCCUAAUUCA